UCGGGUGGGUCUCAGCGGUCCGCCUAUGGUGAGUACUGCUGUGGCCUUCCUUACUGUCGGGGACCUGCUUCUGGGCUUCAUUGUCCGGGACAGGGAUUCGGCAUGGUUACUUUGAGUAAAUUAGAGUGUUCAAAGCAGGCUUACGCCGUGAAUACUUUAGCAUGGAAUAACAUGAUAGGACUCUGCCCUAUUCUGUUGGCCUGUAGGAGUGGAGUAAUGAUUAAGAGGAACAGUCGGGGGCAUUCGUAUUUCAUUGUCAGAGGUGAAAUUCUUGGAUUUAUGAAAGACGAACUACUGCGAAAGCAUUUGCCAAGGAUGUUUUCAUUAAUCAAGAACGAAAGUUGGGGGCUCGAAGACGAUUAGAUACCANCGUAGUCA
rnacentral:rRNA from 1 species